GUUCAAAUCCCGGUCGGGUCUGUUGCAUCUUCUCCCUUUCGGUUACAAAAGUAGCGGUUAAAAAAGCAUGGGUUAAAAAUGUACCAUAACAACAAGGAGGUUUCUUCCGUGCCAAUCAAACUUGGACUAAUGCAAUUUCUUGACUUUUUAAGUACUGACAAGAAAACAGUAAUUACUGGCCACAAUAUAAUUUCCUAUGACAUCCCAGUAUUGAUGAAUGCAUUCCAGAACUGUGGUAUUAUCAACAAAUUCCUUGACAAGGUUCAUGCCAUAUGUGAUACUCUUCAACUCUUCAAAAUUAUUAGUCCAGGACUUAAAUCUUAUUCGCAAGUAAACCUUUAUCAGCAUUUCUUGGAAGAGGAAUAUGCAGCCCAUGAUUCAUUACAGGAUGUUGUUGCCCUACAAAGGUUAUUACAUCACGCGGAACCAAGUCGCGGGGUGACGCAAAGCCAGACUUUGUCUUUAGAUUCCUUUAUCAAAAGAGUCGAUUACAAUGAAAAAGCCAAAAUCAACAUGUCAACUCUUUCUCCGUUAACUGACUCUAAGAUCAUCUCGAAGGGAAUGUCUCAUUCCAUAGCCUACAGUGGUUUAUCGUAUGUACAUCUCCAACUUGCAUAUCACAGAAAUGGUCGUCAGGGAAUUAUGGAUGUGUUGAUGGAAGAUGUUAAUGGAAAAGCACGUGUGACGCGUUCUAAAAAAAUUGUGGAUUCUAUUUCUGACUUCUUUCAGUCCAAAGACCCCGAAGUUUAAAUUGAUAUCAAAAGAGCCCUACAUGUUAAUCUGUUGAUAACUUGAUGUACAAUUUUUCACCUUGCCAUCUAAGAAUUUAUGAACAAAUGAAGAUAACAGUGAUCAAUGCGAGGUGAAGAUAACAAACAGUGAUCAAUCUCAUAACUCCUAUAAGCAAUACAAAAUAGAUAGUUGGGCAGACAUGGACCCCUGGACACACCAGGGGUGGGAUCAGGUGCCUAGGAGGAGUAAUCUCAUAAACCUAUAAAGAAUACAAAAUAAAGAGAAUGGCAAACACGGGCCCCUGGACAUACUGGGAUCAAGUACCUAGGAGGAGUAAACAUCCCCUGUUGACAUAAUACAAGCAUUGUGCAUUCUGUUUCCUGAUUAGGUAGUAGUUAACAGAGGAAUAAUAACAACCACAGAUUUUGCAAAAUGCUGACUUUAAACAAUACUGUUGAAACUUGUUUGAGAACAAUUUAUGUGUCACUAACUUGCCUGGAUUUAAAAAUUGAUCAUAUGCACAGCAUGGAUUUGACCAUUGAAUCAGUUUUUGAGAGAUAUUAACAACAUCUGCUGGUGAUAGUGGAAUAUGGCAAGUUGACAAUGGAAAAACUGAAGUAAUUUCAUUUGCCAUAAAGUUGUGUUGUUCGGUUGCUGUUAACAUCUAUAAUGUAUUGAAAGGAAAAGCAGAUUUGGAAGACUCUGUGAUGUCUCUUCUUUCAAGUUCAAGGGUUUUGAAUGUGAUGUCUCCAACAAGGCUAGGUUUGAUGAUUGUUACCAUGGAUACGAACUCAGGACAUAUGUCAAAAAUGUCUUUGUUUUCGGUUUUGAAUAUGAUGUCUCCAGCAUGGAUAUGUUUGACGAUUGUAACCAUGGAAACGAACUCAAGGACCAACAUGUAUGUCAAAAGUGUUUUUUAUUUGCCUACAAAUAAAUAUAAUGCUACCAAUUUCACUCAAUUUUUGAAAUUUUCUAAUGAUUCUGAUGUCAACCAUUCACUUCCUAUUUUUACAGGUUUUGAAUUAUGAUGUCUCCAGCAACGAUAUGUUUGAUGAUGGUUACCAUGGAAAUGAACACACGGACCUAUGUCAGAAAUGUCUUUUUCUGAUAGAAUAGACAUAAUGCUAUGCAUUUCGCUCAAUUUUAGAAUUUUUAAAUUAUUCUGAUGCCAAUCAUACCCUUCCGUUUUUUACAGGUUUUGAACAUGAUGUCUCCACAAAGGUUAUGUUUGAUGAUGGUUACCAUGGAAACGAACUCAUGGACCUAUGUCAGAAAUGUCUUUUUCUGAUAUAAUAGACAUAAUGCUAUGCAUUUCACUCAAUUUUAGAAUUUUUUAAUUAUAUACCCUUCCGUUUUUUACAGGUUUUGAACAUGAUCUCUCCAGCAGGGAUAUGUUUGAUGAUGGUUACCAUGGAAACGAACUCACGGACCUAUGUCAAAAAUUUUUUUUUCUGAUAGAAUAGACAUAAUGCCAUGUAUUUCACUCAAUUUUAGAAUUUUUUAAUUAUUCUGAUGCCAAUCAUACCCUUCCGUUUUUUUUUUUUACAGGUUUUUAAUAUGAUCUCUCCAGCAGGGAUAUGUUUGAUGGUGGUUACCAUGGAAACGAACUCACGGACCUAUGUCAGAAAUAUCUUUUUCUGAUAGAAUAGACAUAAUGCCAUGUAUUUCACUCAAUUUUAGAAUUUUUUGAUUAUUCUGAUGCCAAUCAUACCCUUCCUUUUUUUUUUUUUUUUUUUUUACAGGUUUUUAAUAUGAUCUCUCCAGCAGGGAUAUGUUUGAUGGUGGUUACCAUGGAAACGAACUCACGGACCUAUGUCAGAAAUAUCUUUUUCUGAUAGAAUAGACAUAAUGCUAUGCAUUUCACUCAAUUUUAGAAUUUUUUAAUUAUUCUGAUGGCGGUCAUACCCUUCCGUUUUUUACAGGUUUUGAACAUGAUCUCUCCAGCAGGGAUAUGUUUGAUGAUGGUUACCAUGGAAACGAACUCACGGACCUAUAUCAAAAUUUUCUUUUUCUGAUAGAAUAGACAUAAUGCUAUGCAUUUCACUCAAUUUUAGAAUUUUUUAAUUAUUCUGAUGGCGGUCAUACCCUUACGUUUUUUUUUUUUUUUUUACAGGUUUUGAACAUGAUGUCUCUAGCAAGGAUAUGUUUGAUGAUGGUUACCAUGGAAACGAACUCACGGACCUAUGUCAAAAUGUCUUUUUCUGAUAAAAUAAAUAUAAUGCUAUGCAUUUCACUCAAUUUUAGAAUUUUUUAAUUAUUCUGAUGUCAGCCAUACACUUCCGGUUUCUGUACAGGUUCUAAAUAUGAUGUCUCCAGCAAGGAUAUGUUUGAUGAUGGUUACCAUGGAAACGAACUCACAGACCUAUUUAAAAAUGACUUUUCCUGUUAAAUUAAAAAUAAUGCUAUUUACUUUAAUAAUUUUAGAAAUGUUUUCAUUGUUCUUAUGUCAGUUCCACACUCCCAUUUAGACAAAUAGUAAAUAUACAGUAAAUUAUAAUGUCUCCAGCAAUGUUCGUUACCAUGGAAACGAACUCACGAACCUAUCUUAAAAAUGUCUUUUUUCAAUAAAAUGAAUACAAUGCUAUCUAUUUAACUCAUUUUUAGGAUUUUUUAAUUACUCUGAUGUCAGUCCCAUACAUCCUUAAAGGAGGCGAGUUGUGGUAUUGAAGAAAGGCCAU